UCUGGUCAGGACGUUACACCUAUGCACAAUCCAUACGUCCAUGGACCUGAUAUACGCCUAUAACUAAAUAUGUAAUUCAAUUAUAGGUUUAUAUAACAUUUUCAUCGUCGCUCAGCCACAUAAUGCCAGGGUAUACCUGGUGGGCUUUCUGGAAUAGAAAGACACAUAUAUCAUGUUUUAAAGGGCAAUAGAGUAUUGAGUGAAUUUCAUUCUCUACCUCUGAGGUCACAGUAGUUACAAAGUCUCUCCUAUACUAUUUCACCACAAUACCAGCCUGUUUACACACACAGGCGCAAUAUCCCUGUUCUUACCUGUGCACAUAGUGAUCUCCGGCUGUAGGAUGUACAUAACCUUUCUGUCACACAUGAAUUCGCUCUUAAUCAAACAAAAGUUUCUCAAUUUACGUUGAUGAUUAAUCUCCUCCACCAAUUUCUUUUCAUAUUGCAUCAUCAGUUGUUUUUUAAUGUUUUUUUAAAUUUGGUUUUCAUACAGAUGUUCAUAGUCAGACUGUUGUGAAAGGUUUAGAUUGGAUGAGCUUAUUAGUCACUUGUAUAGGGACACAGAUGUAAUUAUAGGGUACAGUGAAAAUCUUGUUCUCCGGGCUCCAACAGUGCAGUCACUCUGAGUGUGGAUUGCAGUCACUCCGAGACUUUUCCAGUAGACUGCUUUCAAGGUAACUCAGUAUAUCUGGGAUAAUGUCCAAGGGACUCAUCUGAAGGGAGUCCCAGAUCUGUGUACUGAGCCAAAGCACUCUCUCACUGCCCAACACUGUGCUACCACCCUCAGCCACCCUGCUCCCCUGUGU